AGUAUGGGCGGCAGCACUGCUAUACAGUUGUGCAGUUGGCAGUGCAGCUUUACUGUUGUUGUUGCUGACUGUACGACGUACAGAGAGAGCAGGUUGCAAACCAGAUCUAUCUCUAUUUCUCCAGCAGUUUGUCAAUCAUCAAAACAUAGAAGGCAUUUUGUCUUAUCAAUAUCUUUAGCCAAAGAGGAAUCAAAGAAGGGCAAAAACUUGGUCCUGAAGGCUACUAAUAAUGAUGACUUAGAUAUUGAUAAUUAUUACAUGAAUCUCUUGACUAGAAAGUUCAAGAGGAUUUCUAAAAAAGGAAAAAAACCUUCCAAAGAAAGGCAACUUAAGCAAGGCUAAGGUGAUUAACAAGUCUCAGUUUGAUGAAUAUUUCUAAUAUGAAAAAAUGGACAUAAUCAAAAUACCGUCUAACGUAGAAAGCUGAAUGGACAAAGCAAAGAGAAAAUAAGAAGGAAUAACACGGAGAAUGAGUCUCAGAGCGUUCCAAGAUCCAAAAACAUCAUAUGAUAAAGCCUUGAUCUGGCAAUGUUAAUAGCCUAAGAAGACCGUUUCAGUGAAAAAUUUGAAGAUUAAAUCAAUGAAGAGGACGACAAUUAGUAAACCAAAAGUUGAAGAAGAAUCUACUGAGGCUAAAGUGAGAGAAAGCAACCAACUCCGGUAUCUAAAUAGUGGUUACUCAAGAUAUAUGACUGGAAACAAGAAAUGUUUUCUCUCAUUGACAGCUUUCUAGGGAGGGAGCGUGACUUUCGGUAGUAACAUAAAAGGUAAAACAAAGUGAAGACCUGAUUAUAUGAUAAAAAGGAGAAAAUUGAGGUAGAUCGGAGUUGAUAUUGAAGAUUGAAAUUUGAAUGAAGACAAGAGAAGAAACCGUAAGAGUUAGUGGACGCGAACUGUGUUUGUGGCCGCAAACGGCGCAAACUUGAAAAGAAAAUUGUUGAGAGUUCAUGGCCACAAACUUGAAUAAGACAAAAUGGCUGAGAUGAGUUGCUGCCUCACUCCAUGGUUUUUUUAGUGGGCACAAAUUGCUUCACGAUCACAAUAAUCGAACCAUACAUUCGUGGACAUGAACUAUGUUCGUCGACACGAAAUACCAAGGCGAGACAUUUUUAUUCGAAAUUAUGACGGAAUAUAUAUUGAAGUUUAGGUUUUUUUUCUCAUUCUUUCGGCGUUUGUCCAAGUGUAGAAGGCUCUGUUUUAAUAUUUUGGAAAGAAACAAGUGGAAGAUAGUAAGAGUUUGCAAAUUUUUUUAUUUAAUAUAAUUAUAUUUAUUCCCUUUUUAAUUUCUCGU